rnacentral:rRNA from 1 species
UACGUAGGGGGCAAGCGUUGUCCGGAAUCAUUGGGCGUAAAGAGCGCGUAGGCGGCCCGGUAAGUCGGCUGUGAAAGUCCAGGGCUCAACCCUGGGAUGCCGGUCGAUACUGCCGGACUAGAGUCCGGAAGAGGCAAGUGGAAUUCCCGGUGUAGCGGCGAAAUGCGCAGAUAUCGGGAGGAACACCAAUGGCGAAGGCAGCUUGCUGGGACGGUACUGACGCUGAGACGCGAAAGCGUGGGGAGCAAACAGG